rnacentral:rRNA from 1 species
GAUGAACGCUAGCGGCAGGCUUAAUACAUGCAAGUCGAGGGGCAGCGCGGGUAGCAAGUACCUGGCGGCGGCCGGCAAAACGGGUGCGGAACACGUACGCAACCUUCCCAAAACUGGUGAAUAGCCCUCCGAAAGGAGGAUUAAUACACCGUACCAUAAUGAAGAGGCAUCUCUUUGUUAUUAUAGCCGCAAGGCGGUUUUGGAUGGGCGUGCGCCUGAUUAGGUAGUUGGCGGGGUAACGGCCCACCAAGCCUGCGAUCAGUAACUGGUGUGAGAGCACGACCAGUCACACGGGCACUGAGACACGGGCCCGACUCCUACGGGAGGCAGCAGUAAGGAAUAUUGGUCAAUGGACGCAAGUCUGAACCAGCCAUGCCGCGUGAAGGAUGACGGCCCUCUGGGUUGUAAACUUCUUUUAUCUGGGACGAAAAAAGGGCUUUCUAGCUCACUUGACGGUACCAGAGGAAUAAGCACCGGCUAACUCCGUG